rnacentral:lncRNA from 1 species
GCUGGAAACGAGGAGAAAAAUGGAAAGAGAAUGGAUAUCACAAACACCCCGCCUGAGUAUUUUUGAUCGAUGUUUUACAGUUUUUGGUUUUUUCUUGGCCCAGGAUGAUGAGAAGUUUAUGAUUGAUGUCAUUUUACUCACAUAUGAAUAAAAACAAUAAAAGAAACAUCGGAUAAUCAAAUUACACCAGAAUGUGUUGCACAGUUUUUUUUUUCUCUCUCAUCAAAAACGUAAUUUUUUUUUCUUGUUUCAGGAACAGGAACCUGGAUGGUAAGAUUUGUAAACACCAAGUUCAACAGAGCAAACAUGCUCUGUUGAAGAACAAUG